UGGGGAAUAUUGCACAAUGGGCGCAAGCCUGAUGCAGCCAUGCCGCGUGUAUGAAGAAGGCCUUCGGGUUGUAAAGUACUUUCAGUCGGGAGGAAGGUGGUAAGGUUAAUAACCUUGGCAAUUAACGUUACCGACAGAAGAAGCACCGGCUAACUCCGUGCCAGCAGCCGCGGUAAUACGGAGGGUGCAAGCGUUAAUCGGAAUUACUGGGCGUAAAGCGCACGCAGGCGGUUGAUUGAGUCAGAUGUGAAAUCCCCGGGCUUAACCCGGGAAUUGCAUCUGAUACUGGUCAGCUAGAGUCUUGUAGAGGGGGGUAGAAUUCCAUGUGUAGCGGUGAAAUGCGUAGAGAUGUGGAGGAAUACCGGUGGCGAAGGCGGCCCCCUGGACGAAGACUGACGCUCAGGUGCGAAAGCGUGGGGAGCAAACAGG
rnacentral:rRNA from 1 species